rnacentral:rRNA from 1 species
CCUACGGGGGGCUGCAGUGAGGAAUAUUGGUCAAUGGACGCUAGCCUGAACCAGCCAAGUAGCGUGAAGGAUGACUGCCCUAUGGGUUGUAAACUUCUUUUAUAUGGGAAUAAAGUGCAGUAUGUAUACUGCUUUGCAUGUACCUUAUGAAUAAGGAUCGGCUAACUCCGUGCCAGCAGCCGCGGUAAUACGGAGGAUCCGAGCGUUAUCCGGAUUUAUUGGGUUUAAAGGGAGCGUAGGCGGGUUGUUAAGUCAGUUGUGAAAGUUUGCGGCUCAACCGUAAAAUUGCAGUUGAUACUGGCAGCCUUGAGUACAGUAGAGGUAGGCGGAAUUCGUGGUGUAGCGGUGAAAUGCUUAGAUAUCACGAAGAACUCCGAUUGCGAAGGCAGCCUGCUGGACUGUAACUGACGCUGAUGCUCGAAAGUGUGGGUAUCAAACAGGAUUAGAUACCCCUGUAGUC